UACAUGGGGUGCAAACGUUGCUCGGAAUCAUUGGGCGUAAAGCGCACGUAGGCGGUCUGUUAUGUCGGAUGUGAAAGCCCUUGGCUCAACUGAGGAAGUGCAUCCGAAACUGGCAGGCUAGAGUACUAAAGAGGGUCGCGGAAUUCCCGGUGUAGAGGUGAAAUUCGUAGAUAUCGGGAGGAACACCGGUGGCGAAGGCGGCGACCUGGGUAGAUACUGACGCUGAGGUGCGAAAGCGUGGGGAGCAAACAGG
rnacentral:rRNA from 1 species